GAUGAACGCUGGCGGCGUGCCUAAUACAUGCAAGUCGAGCGAAUGGAUUAAGAGCUUGCUCUUAUGAAGUUAGCGGCGGACGGGUGAGUAACACGUGGGUAACCUGCCCAUAAGACUGGGAUAACUCCGGGAAACCGGGGCUAAUACCGGAUAACAUUUUGAACCGCAUGGUUCGAAAUUGAAAGGCGGCUUCGGCUGUCACUUAUGGAUGGACCCGCGUCGCAUUAGCUAGUUGGUGAGGUAACGGCUCACCAAGGCAACGAUGCGUAGCCGACCUGAGAGGGUGAUCGGCCACACUGGGACUGAGACACGGCCCAGACUCCUACGGGAGGCAGCAGUAGGGAAUCGUCCGCAAUGGACGAAAGUCUGACGGAGCAACGCCGCGUGAGUGAUGAAGGCUUUCGGGUCGUAAAACUCUGUUGUUAGGGAAGAACAAGUGCUAGUUGAAUAAGCUGGCACCUUGACGGUACCUAACCAGAGAGCCACGGCUAACUACGUGCCAGCCGCCGCUGUAA
rnacentral:rRNA from 1 species